CACCCUCUAUGCACUGCAUUUUGCGGUGAACAGAUGCACUGCUAAGGAAUGGAGUAGCAGCCCCUGGAACAGUUUGAGCAGGGGAAGAACACUUAGAGGAGUUUACUUACUACAGAUGGAGUCUGGAAGGUGCAGAGAGAGUGCAGUGCUCAUUGACACAGCAGGCUGGGACUAAACCCCGGGAGUUCCGCCAUGGGAUUCUGAGGGAACUGUAGUGACCUACAGAGGUGCUGCAUGGCUUCUGGGUCGCAGUGUCGCCUAUCUCCUCCCCUGGCUCCUAAACCUCAUUCAUUCCUCUCAUCUGGAUUGGAAUGCAGCCCGUAGACACUUAAUAAUCAGAUCUGGAACACUUCUGAUAUCAGACUGACGUCCCUCCUCCGAAGCACCCG
ensembl:lncRNA